rnacentral:rRNA from 1 species
CUCGUGUCGUGAGAUGUUGGGUUAAGUCCCGCAACGAGCGCAACCCUUGAUCUUAGUUGCCAGCAUUUCGGAUGGGCACUCUAAGGUGACUGCCGGUGACAAACCGGAGGAAGGUGGGGAUGACGUCAAAUCAUCAUGCCCCUUAUGACCUGGGCUACACACGUACUACAAUGGCCGGUACAACGGGCUGUGAAGCCGCGAGGUGGAACGAAUCCUAAAAAGCCGGUCUCAGUUCGGAUUGCAGGCUGCAACUCGCCUGCAUGAAGUCGGAAUUGCUAGUAAUCGCGGAUCAGCAUGCCGCGGUGAAUACGUUCCCGGGUCUUGUACACACCGCCCGUCACACCACGAGAGUUUAUAACACCCGAAGUCGGUGG